CUCAAGGAACGCAACUUUAGCUUCUCGGGUGAUGUUCCUGGUUCUCUCUAUGAUGAAUCUGAUGUGCCUCACCAUGCCGAAGAUGUCAAUAUGGGAGGUUUAAAUGGGAUAUGGUGUAGAAGAAGUAAAUAAAAGAUGUAAGCACCUUAUACUGAACACAACAGCAUGUGAUGUUCCCUUGCUCUAUUUACGUUAUUGUUUGUUUAUGGAGAUAGUCAUGCUCAUUUAGUCAUUUACCUCUUUUGUUGACUACCACUCCAAUAGUCUUGGGAGUGGUUGAACAAACUUUUGACUGAAGUUUGUCACAACUACAUGGAACUAGAUUUCUUAGAAGGAUUUCGGGCUAUUUUGCUCAUAUUUUAGAAAACUGAUCAUGUGUGAUGGCCCAUCUGUCUUGCAAAAUAGACUUGAACUGGUCA